rnacentral:piRNA from 1 species
UGGCUAUUUAAUAUUGCUUCCACUUCAGAGC